GUCUAUGGCCAUGCUACCCUGAACAAGCCUGAUCCCGUCUGAUCUUGGAAGCUAAGCAGGGUCGAGCCUGGUUAAUACUUGGAUAAGAGACCACCUAGGAAGACCAGGUGCUGUAGGAG
rfam:Pteropus alecto contig8914, whole genome shotgun sequence.